rnacentral:rRNA from 1 species
GCGGCGGACGGGUGAGUAACACGUGGAUAACCUACCUAUAAGACUGGGAUAACUUCGGGAAACCGGAGCUAAUACCGGAUAAUAUUUUGAACCGCAUGGUUCAAAAGUGAAAGACGGUCUUGCUGUCACUUAUAGAUGGAUCCGCGCUGCAUUAGCUAGUUGGUAAGGUAACGGCUUACCAAGGCAACGAUGCAUAGCCGACCUGAGAGGGUGAUCGGCCACACUGGAACUGAGACACGGUCCAGACUCCUACGGGAGGCAGCAGUAGGGAAUCUUCCGCAAUGGGCGAAAGCCUGACGGAGCAACGCCGCGUGAGUGAUGAAGGUCUUCGGAUCGUAAAACUCUGUUAUUAGGGAAGAACAUAUGUGUAAGUAACUGUGCACAUCUUGACGGUACCUAAUCAGAAAGCCACGGCUAACUACGUGCCAGCAGCCGCGGUAAUACGUAGGUGGCAAGCGUUAUCCGGAAUUAUUGGGCGUAAAGCGCGCGUAGGCGGUUUUUUAAGUCUGAUGUGAAAGCCCACGGCUCAACCGUGGAGGGUCAUUGGAAACUGGAAAACUUGAGUGCAGAAGAGGAAAGUGGAAUUCCAUGUGUAGCGGUGAAAUGCGCAGAGAUAUGGAGGAACACCGGUGGCGAAGGCGACUUUCUGGUCUGUAACUGACGCUGAUGUGCGAAAGCGUGGGGAUCAAACAGGAUUAGAUACCCUGGUAGUCCACGCCGUAAACGAUGAGUGCUAAGUGUUAGGGGGUUUCCGCCCCUUAGUGCUGCAGCUAACGCAUUAAGCACUCCGCCUGGGGAGUACGACCGCAAGGUUG